rnacentral:rRNA from 1 species
AACGAACGCUGGCGGCAGGCCUAACACAUGCAAGUCGAGCGCCCAGCAAUGGGAGCGGCGGACGGGUGAGUAACGCGUGGGAAUUUUUCCUGGAGUACGGAACAACCGAGGGAAACUUCGGCUAAUACCGUAUGAUGCCGAGAGGCCAAAGAUUUAUCGCUCUGGGGUGAGCCCGCGUCAGAUUAGGUAGUUGGUGGGGUAAAGGCCUACCAAGCCUGCGAUCUGUAGCUGGUCUGAGAGGACGAUCAGCCACACUGGGACUGAGACACGGCCCAGACUCCUACGGGAGGCAGCAGUGGGGAAUCUUGCGCAAUGGGCGAAAGCCUGACGCAGCCAUGCCGCGUGAGUGAAGAAGGUCUUAGGAUUGUAAAGCUCUUUUCGCUCGUGACGAUGAUGACGGUAACGAGAGAAGAA